UACAGAGGGGGCAAGCGUUGUUCGGAAUUACUGGGCGUAAGGGGCGCGUAGGCGGCCCGCUAAGUCGAACGUGAAAUCCCCGAGCUCAACUCGGGAACUGCGUCCGAUACUGGCGGGCUUGAAUCCGGGAGAGGGAUGCGGAAUUCCAGGUGUAGCGGUGAAAUGCGUAGAUAUCUGGAGGAACACCGGUGGCGAAGGCGGCAUCCUGGACCGGCAUUGACGCUGAGGCGCGAAAGCUAGGGGAGCAAACGGG
rnacentral:rRNA from 1 species